GAUGAACGCUGGCGGCGUGCCUAAUACAUGCAAGUCGAGCGAACAGACGAGGAGCUUGCUCCUCUGACGUUAGCGGCGGACGGGUGAGUAACACGUGGAUAACCUACCUAUAAGACUGGGAUAACUUCGGGAAACCGGAGCUAAUACCGGAUAAUAUAUUGAACCGCAUGGUUCAAUAGUGAAAGACGGUUUUGCUGUCACUUAUAGAUGGAUCCGCGCCGCAUUAGCUAGUUGGUAAGGUAACGGCUUACCAAGGCGACGAUGCGUAGCCGACCUGAGAGGGUGAUCGGCCACACUGGAACUGAGACACGGUCCAGACUCCUACGGGAGGCAGCAGUAGGGAAUCUUCCGCAAUGGGCGAAAGCCUGACGGAGCAACGCCGCGUGAGUGAUGAAGGUCUUCGGAUCGUAAAACUCUGUUAUUAGGGAAGAACAAAUGUGUAGGUAACUAUGCACGUCUUGACGGUACCUAAUCAGAAAGCCACGGCUAACUACGUG
rnacentral:rRNA from 1 species